rnacentral:rRNA from 2 species
UCGUCAGAUGAACGCUGGCGGCGUGCCUAAUACAUGCAAGUCGAGCGAACAGAUAAGGAGCUUGCUCCUUUGACGUUAGCGGCGGACGGGUGAGUAACACGUGGGUAACCUACCUAUAAGACUGGGACAACUUCGGGAAACCGGAGCUAAUACCGGAUAAUAUGUUGAACCGCAUGGUUCAAUAGUGAAAGAUGGUUUUGCUAUCACUUAUAGAUGGACCCGCGCCGUAUUAGCUAGUUGGUGAGGUAACGGCUCACCAAGGCAACGAUACGUAGCCGACCUGAGAGGGUGAUCGGCCACACUGGAACUGAGACACGGUCCAGACUCCUACGGGAGGCAGCAGUAGGGAAUCUUCCGCAAUGGGCGAAAGCCUGACGGAGCAACGCCGCGUGAGUGAUGAAGGUCUUAGGAUCGUAAAACUCUGUUAUUAGGGAAGAACAAACGUGUAAGUAACUGUGCACGUCUUGACGGUACCUAAUCAGAAAGCCACGGCUAACUACGUGCCAGCAGCCGCGGUAAUACGUAGGUGGCAAGCGUUAUCCGGAAUUAUUGGGCGUAAAGCGCGCGUAGGCGGUUUUUUAAGUCUGAUGUGAAAGCCCACGGCUCAACCGUGGAGGGUCAUUGGAAACUGGAAAACUUGAGUGCAGAAGAGGAAAGUGGAAUUCCAUGUGUAGCGGUGAAAUGCGCAGAGAUAUGGAGGAACACCAGUGGCGAAGGCGACUUUCUGGUCUGUAACUGACGCUGAUGUGCGAAAGCGUGGGGAUCAAACAGGAUUAGAUACCCUGGUAGUCCACGCCGUAAACGAUGAGUGCUAAGUGUUAAGGGGGUUUCCGCCCCUUAGUGCUGCAGCUAACGCAUUAAGCACUCCGCCUGGGGGAGUACGACCGCAAGGUGACAGAAAA